rnacentral:snoRNA from 1 species
UGGUGUUUGUGGACCAGAACAUCCCAGAAGCUUUAGCUGAGUAAGUGUGCAAGGCCGAACUGCUCAUGCGAUGGCCUUUCUAGACCCUU